rnacentral:rRNA from 1 species
CCCUUAGAUGUUCUCGGCCGCACACGCGCUACACUGAAAGAGGCAACGUGUUUGUCUGAUUCGAAAGAAUUGGGUAACCCCCUAAUCUCUUUCGUGCUGGGGAUUGAGGUUUGCAAUUAUCCUUCAUGAACGAGGAAUUCCCAGUAAGUGCGAGUCAUUAUCUCGCGCUGACUACGUCCCUGCCCUUUGUACACACCGCCCGUCGCUACUACCGAUUGAAUGAUUUAGUGAGGACUUCGGACUGAGUCCAAUGCGGCUUUCGGGCUGCGUUGGUAUUUCGGAAAGAUGUCCAAACUGUAUCAUUUAGAGGAAGUAAAAGUCGUAACA